rnacentral:rRNA from 1 species
UACGUAGGGUGCAAGCGUUUGUCCGGAAUUAUUGGGCGUAAAGAGCUCGUAGGCGGUUCGUCGCGUCGGCUGUGAAAACCCGGAGCUCAACUCCGGGCCUGCAGUCGAUACGGGCGGACUCGAGUUCGGCAGGGGAGAGCUGGGAAUUCCUGGUGUGCGGGUGAAAUGCGCAGAUAUCAGGAGGAACACCGGUGGCGAAGGCGGUCUCUGGGCAGUAACUGACGCUGAGGAGCGAAAGCGUGGGGAGCGAACAGG